rnacentral:tRNA from 1 species
CUGGGUGUAGUUCAGUAGCAGAACGCGUGUUUCGGGAACACGAAGUCGCUGGUGCGAUUCCAGCUACCCAGA